GCCCCCUUCGCCCAGUGGCCGGGCACCGCCUUCGUACGGCGACCACGCCGGUUCGACUCCGGCAGGGGGCUCCA
rnacentral:tRNA from 1 species